rnacentral:rRNA from 1 species
UACGGAGGGGGCUAGCGUUGUCCGGAAUUACUGGGCGUAAAGGGCGUGUAGGCGGUUUGUUAAGUCUGGCGUGAAAGCUCUCGGCUAAACCGGGAGAGGUCGUUGGAUACUGGCAGACUAGAGGACGGUAGAGGCGUGUGGAAUUCCGGGUGUAGUGGUGAAAUGCGUAGAGAUCGGGAGGAAUACCAGUGGCGAAGGCGGCCUUCUGGACUGACACUGACGCUGAGGCGCGAAAGCCAGGGGAGCAAACGGG